rfam:Jatropha curcas cultivar GZQX0401 scaffold211_27, whole genome shotgun sequence.
AUGGGUCAUAUGAUGAUUUUAAGCAUAGUUCAACUGAUAAUCCAUGUGAUUAUAUAACUUUUUUAGUCUUUCGCUCCUAUCUGAUGACCCCU